AGGCUCGCUGUAGGUCCUCCUGUAGCUCACAUGGUUUCCGACGCCGGCAUAGGUCAGAGUAAUCCAGCUUUACACCAAGACGCAACCAGAAAGCAAAUUAGUGUGCUUGGAGGGGCUCAGCCGGAGAAUGAGACUUCCCCUGCAAGGCUGCAACCUGUUGGACUCAUUAGUGGUUCUCUCCUGGAUAUUGAGGGGCGUCCCGCUGACAGCUCCAGGCGAAGGAACGAGAGUACCCUGAGCUACAGAGAAGCACUGAGGAAGCAGGUAAAAUAAUUAUUGCAGCUCAAAGAAGAAUUUUGCAACAAUGUCUUUGUUCAGAUUACAGAAAAAGAAGAGAAUGUAAGAAGAGAGAAAGAGAAGAAGAGGAGAGAUGCUGCUGAGCUGCUGGAUGAGAUGGCGGUGUAUGACCCCUGGGGGAAAGGAGGAG